rnacentral:rRNA from 1 species
UACGUAGGUGGCAAGCGUUGUCCGGAUUUACUGGGUGUAAAGGGCGUGUAGCCGGGCUGACAAGUCAGAUGUGAAAUCCGGGGGCUCAACCCCCGAACUGCAUUUGAAACUGUUGGUCUUGAGUAUCGGAUAGGCAGGCGGAAUUCCUAGUGUAGCGGUGAAAUGCGUAGAUAUUAGGAGGAACACCAGUGGCGAAGGCGGCCUGCUGGACGACAACUGACGGUGAGGCGCGAAAGCGUGGGGAGCAAACAGG